rnacentral:rRNA from 1 species
AUUGAACGCUGGCGGCAGGCCUAACACAUGCAAGUCGAGCGCGCGGCGGACGGGUGAGUAAUGUCUGGGAAACUGCCUGAUGGAGGGGGAUACCUCUUGGAAACGGUAGCUAUUCCCGCUUACCAGCAGAUGUGCCCAGAUGGGAUUAGCUAGUAGGUGGGGUAAUGGCUCACCUAGGCGACGAUCCCUAGCUGGUCUGAGAGGAUGACCAGCCACACUGGAACUGAGACACGGUCCAGACUCCUACGGGAGGCAGCAGUGGGGAAUAUUGCACAAUGGGCGCAAGCCUGAUGCAGCCAUGCCGCGUGGGUGAAGAAGGCCUUCGGGUUGUAAAGCACUUUCAUCGGGGAGGCGUUACUCGCAGAAGAAGCACCGGCUAACUCCGUGCCAGCAGCCGCGGUAAUUC